UAUUCUGAAACUACAUCUAAGCCAUCUUCAUCUACUUACUCACACCAGAGACCUAUAACUACAGAACAAGCAACACCCAUGGAGAUUGGAGUUAUUAGAGGACCCCUUACCGCAGAUGAAAGAAUGAGACGUAAAACCAACCAUCUCUGUAUGUAUUGUGGCAAUUCCAACCAUAUGGUCACAGAUUGCCCCAUCUUACGCAAGAACAAAAAGAUGGGACCUUAGAAGACUCACAACCAAUGCCAUAGUGGACUCCGGAGCUUUUGGCAAUUUCAUAGAUAUCAGCACUGUUCAAAAAAAUAAAAUACCUACCGUAUUAAAAAAAA